rnacentral:tRNA from 1 species
AGCUUUAUAUUCAAAAAUGAUAUAAAAUUGCAAAUUUUAAGGAGUAAAAUUAUUACUAAGGCUU